GGAAUGGCUGCAAAAUUUGUUCCACCAUGUGACCAGUACAUGUUUGAUAGCAAUGUUGACAACUGCCUGUCAGACUUCAACAAGAGCAUGGAGACAAGUGGCUUUCAGGACAGGUGCCCAUGGCCUGCUGUGAAACACAAUAACAAGAUGGACCUGCUCUUCAAGAAUCCACAUGACUGUGAAGUGUCAGUGUUAUGAAUGCAAACACACUGCAUGUCAUACUUUGUCAUCAUCAUUCAUACAUCAAACGAUUGUUGUGUAGACCUCAUGAAGACCAGCUGUGUGUCAUCAAAACACUGUAAAGCUGCAUUAAGCAAUGUUUUCAAUUUCAACUUUGAAUCCAAUGACUGCCUAUAAUGUGAAAUUGGUGCUAGUGCUCAAUCUCACUGAGAAUCAACACCCCAAUCUGUAGAUCUGUGCUGUGCUGAGUGCACUCUACCUGCCCAGCAUGGCAGAGAUAUAAGUCGACAGGAGGACACUGAGGAGAGCUGAGCACAGAGCCAUCCAAAGAGGAGUACACCAUUUUUCUCAAGAACUAUUGGACCACACCAAAGAAAACGCAAUGGAAAACGCAGGAAUCUCUGUUUCUGCUGGACGUGUAAUAAGGCUGUUCAUUGCUAACACACUUGACUGGGCUUGUUACUGUGAGUUUAUUGUAAACAUUGCUUUCUGUGCUCUAGUGCUUAAUACAACUUUAACAGCGUUUUAAAAUAAAUAUUGUUUUUUGGAAAAAAAUGUCUUUAAAUGAAUGUGAUAGUCGUAGAAGUCAUAGAUGUUCCUGAAUGAACAUACCUGCCACAACACUGAAAUGAAACCUUGUAUGUUAAAGACUGUUUCACUGAAUAAAAAAUUACUAUGCACAAA